rnacentral:rRNA from 1 species
GCAUAUCAAAUUAGCGGAGGAAAAGAAACCAACCGGGAUUGCCUUAGUAACGGCGAGUGAAGCGGCAAAAGCUCAAAUUUGAAAUCUGGCGUCUUCGACGUCCGAGUUGUAAUUUGAAGAAGGCGACUUUGUAGCUGGUCCUUGUCUAUGUUCCUUGGAACAGGACGUCAUAGAGGGUGAGAAUCCCGUGUGGCGAGGAUCCCAGUUAUUUGUAAAGUGCUUUCGACGAGUCGAGUUGUUUGGGAAUGCAGCUCUAAGUGGGUGGUAAAUUCCAUCUAAAGCUAAAUAUUGGCGAGAGACCGAUAGCGAACAAGUACAGUGAUGGAAAGAUGAAAAGAACUUUGAAAAGAGAGUGAAAAAGUACGUGAAAUUGUUGAAAGGGAAGGGCAUUUGAUCAGACAUGGCGUUUGCUUCGGCUUUCGCUGGGCCAGCAUCAGUUUUAGCGGUUGGAUAAAUCCUCGGGAAUGUGGCUCUGCUUCGGUAGAGUGUUAUAGCCCGUGGGAAUACAGCCAGCUGGGACUGAGGAUUGCGACUUUUGUCAAGGAUGCUGGCGUAAUGGUUAAAUGCCGCCGUAAA